AACAAACGCUGGCGGCAUGCCUAACACAUGCAAGUCGAACGAGACCUUCGGGUCUAGUGGCGCACGGGUGCGUAACGCGUGGGAACCUUGCCUUUAGGUUCGGAAUAACUCAGAGAAAUUUGAGCUAAUACCGGAUAAUGUCUUCGGACCAAAGAUUUAUCGCCUUUAGAUGGGCCCGCGUUGGAUUAGCUAGUUGGUGGGUAAAGGCCUACCAAGGCGACGAUCCAUAGCUGGUCUGAGAGGAUGAUCAGCCACACUGGGACUGAGACACGGCCCAGACUCCUACGGGAGGCAGCAGUGGGAAUAUUGGACAAUGGGCGAAAGCCUGAUCCAGCAAUGCCGCGUGAGUGAU
rnacentral:rRNA from 1 species